GAGAGAGAGAGAGAGAGAGAGAGAGAGAGAGAGAGAGAGAGCCUAAAACCAGCAACAGCAAGCGAGCGAUGGUAGACACGAAGGUGAAGCUGCACUCUCUGAUUUUUUGGCUUCCUUAAUGGACUACACUCCCACUAAUUAGGCUGGUAGCUGUUGCUACUCAAAAGUUUGUAUCUGAGGUUGCAGGUGGUGCUCUUCAGUAUGCUACUCAACUCUUCCUAUACCAUUUCAUCCCACACAUCUAGAUAGACCAAAAUACAUAUGCAAACACUUAGAAUGUGAUCCUUAUGAUUUGGGAAUAUAAACUAGAAGGCAACAAGGAUUGAAGGUUUUGGGGGAGAGGCAUAGGGGUGGGAGUAGAAGUUGGUGAAGUCAAUGUACUAGACAUAUUUUAUUUAAUAUGCUUCCAUCCAAAGAAAUACUAGUGAUUUUGGAGGUGUAA